rnacentral:rRNA from 1 species
AACGAACGCUGGCGGCAUGCCUAACACAUGCAAGUCGAACGAGACCUUCGGGUCUAGUGGCGCACGGGUGCGUAACGAGGGGGAACCUGCCCGUAGGUUCGGAAUAACUCCCCGUAAGGGGAGCUAAUACCGGAUAAGGUCUUCGGGCCAAAGAUUUUUCGCCGUAGGGUGGGCCCGGGUAGGAUUAGCUAGUUGGGAGGGUAAAAGCCUACCAAGGCGACGAUCCCUAGCUGGUCGGAGAGCAUGAUCAGCCACACUGGGACUGAGACACGGCCUAGUCUCCUACGCGAGGCUGCAGUGUGGAAUAUUGGACGCUGGGCGCAGGCCUGAUCCCGCCACGCCGCGGGAGUGAUGAAUGCCUUAGUGUUGUACAUCUCUUUUUCCCGGGAUGAUAAUGACGGUACCGGGUGAAUAAGCUCCGGCUAACUCCGUG